rnacentral:rRNA from 1 species
UACGGAGGGUGCGAGCGUUGUCCGGAAUCACUGGGCGUAAAGGGCGCGUAGGUGGCGCGGGUAGUCAUCGGUGAAAGCUCAGGGCUCAACCCUGAGUCGGCCGGUGAUACUCCCGUGCUUGAGUGUGGUAGAGGCCAAUGGAAUUCCGGGUGUAGCGGUGGAAUGCGUAGAGAUCCGGAAGAACACCGGUGGCGAAGGCGGUUGGCUGGGCCACAACUGACACUGAUGCGCGACAGCGUGGGGAGCAAACAGGG